CCUACGGGUGGCUGCAGUGGGGAAUAUUGGACAAUGGGGGCAACCCUGAUCCAGCCAUGCCGCGUGUGUGAAGAAGGCCCUCGGGUUGUAAAGCACUUUCAGUGAGGAAGAACGCCUGGUGGUUAAUACCCAUCAGGAAAGACAUCACUCACAGAAGAAGCACCGGCUAACUCCGUGCCAGCAGCCGCGGUAAUACGGAGGGUGCGAGCGUUAAUCGGAAUUACUGGGCGUAAAGCGCGCGUAGGUGGCUUGAUAAGCCGGUUGUGAAAGCCCCGGGCUCAACCUGGGAACGGCACCCGGAACUGUCAAGCUAGAGUGCAGGAGAGGAAGGUAGAAUUCCCGGUGUAGCGGUGAAAUGCGUAGAGAUCGGGAGGAAUACCAGUGGCGAAGGCGGCCUUCUGGACUGACACUGACACUGAGGUGCGAAAGCGUGGGUAGCAAACAGGAUUAGAUACCCCUGUAGUC
rnacentral:rRNA from 1 species